rnacentral:rRNA from 1 species
UGGGUAACCUGCCUCAAAGAGGGGAAUAGCCUCCCGAAAGGGAGAUUAAUACCGCAUAAUAUGUUUUAGUCGCAUGACUUAAACAUCAAAGGAUUUUUCUUUUAAGAAAUUCCACUUUGAGAUGGACCCGCGGCGCAUUAGCUAGUUGGUGAGGUAACGGCUCACCAAGGCAACGAUGCGUAGCCGACCUGAGAGGGUGAUCGGCCACAUUGGAACUGAGACACGGUCCAGACUCCGUAGGGAG